rnacentral:rRNA from 1 species
UCGCACAUCUGCAUUGUGUUUGUGUGGACGGAAACGUGUAAGCCCACCCGCGACGAGUCCAGCCAGCCACACGAUCUUAUCGUCGUCCACGAGCGGCUCCUGCCUCUCUCACAAGCCGCGCCUGCCCGCCCCGCCGGAGCAACGGCAUGAUCGCCAUGGCUGCGCGCUGCUUCUUCUACUUCUCCCCUAAACCCUGCCUCUCCUUCACCCCACGGUGCUCCUCCUCCUCCUCCUCCCCGCCAGCGCCAGGGGGGAAGGGAAAGGGGAAGGCGCUGAGGGAGGACUGGCGAGAGAAGUCCAAGCCCAUCCCUCCCGGAGGCGUCUACCCGGCCAAGGACAAGUGCAGCCGCUGCGGCCUCUGCGACACGUACUACAUCGCCCACGUCAACAACGCCUGCGCCUUCCUCGGGGACGGCAUGUCCCGUGUCGAGGAUCUGGAACCAGUGGUCCAUGGGAGGGGCAGGAAGGAUACCAUGGAUGAAAUGUACUACGGGGUGCAUGAGCAGCUCCUGUAUGCCAGGAAAACGGAACCUGUUCAAGGAGCUCAGUGGACAGGAAUAGUCACAACAAUCGCAGUUGAGAUGCUGAAAUCAAAUAUGGUUGAUGCCGUGGUUUGUGUACAAAGUGACCCAGACGAUAGGUUUGCCCCAAGGCCUGUUUUAGCCAGGACACCAGAAGAAGUGAUUGCAGCCAGAGGUGUCAAGCCGACAUUAUCACCUAAUCUCGAUACACUAGCCUUAGUGGAGGCAGCUGGUGUAAAGCGUCUUCUCUUUUGUGGUGUCGGCUGUCAAGUGCAAGCUUUGAGAUCUGUAGAGAAGUACCUUGGCUUGGAAAAGCUUUAUGUGCUUGGCACAAACUGUGUGGACAAUGGUACUCGUGAAGGACUUGAUAAAUUUUUGAAUGCUGCAAGCAGUGAACCAGAAACUGUUCUACAUUACGAAUUUAUGCAAGACUACAAGGUUCACUUAAAGCAUUUGGAUGGGCAUAUAGAAGAGGUCCCGUAUUUUUCCCUGCCAGCCAAUGAUUUGGUUGAUGUCAUUGCACCAUCAUGCUACAGCUGCUUUGACUACACAAAUGGCUUGGCGGAUUUAGUGGUGGGCUAUAUGGGAGUACCGAAAUAUUCGGGCGUUUCUAUGACUCAGCACCCUCAGUAUAUUACAGUCAGGAACGAGCGAGGGAGGGAGAUGCUCAGCCUGAUAGAGGGCCUUUUGGAGAGCACGCCAACAGUUAGCAGUGGUGCUAGACAACCAUUCGUGAUGGAGACAGUGAAAGCCGAUGAUGCAGCGAAAAUGGGAAAAGGCCCUUCUAAUCCAGCUCCCAUAUUUGUGGGCAACAUCAUCGCCUUCCUGCUAAACCUGAUUGGGCCCAAGGGCCUGGAGUUUGGUCGCUACUCUCUGGAUUACCACACGAUAAGGAACUACCUGUAUGUGAACCGGGCAUGGGGAAGGGCAAGAGCGGAGCAGCAUAUGCCAUCGUAUGCCAAGAAAAUCGUGGAGGCCUACAACAAGGACGGACGCAUCGACUCCAUGCUUGAGCAGAAUAAACAGUGAAGUGUAUUGUAUCAUACCUCCGCAUAUGCAUAUGUAGCACACACGGCCACACGAUCCUUAUAGAUAGUAUUAGCAAGCAAAACAAAUAGUGAGUGCACAGCAGAAAUAUUUAGUUCAGACAGCGAGUGGUACGCGUUAGGGCUCAGGUUACUGAUUUAGAUCCUCCCCGACAGGCAGCAGGCUCAAGGAUAAACUCCAAUGAUGCAAUAGAAUUUGUACCAUUAGUCUCUUCACUUGGGUUGUCUGCCCGACAAUUUCAAGGAAAAUGGGUCCAUUGAAGAGCCUUGUCUAUACACAGAUAUGUGAACAAAGAAGAUCAGUCCCGAAGAAGAUCACCACUUCUUUGCUGCCAAAUGAGGCAUGUCUACAGACAGGUUAUUGGAAGGCCAGGCUGUGUUGAAUUUUUUAUUUUUUUUUAUGAAACAAGGCAAAAGAUUUGCCAUUUCGUUGAUCAAGAAAGGAGGUUUGUGCUGAAUAUUGGGUUCUGAAGGGAACAAUGUCUCUGUUAGCCCAAAAUAGUGAGUAGCUAGUUCUCCGAGGAUCAACCAAAGAGGAUGCACGAUCAGCUAGGUGUUACUGCACAAAUAUUCUACAAACGCACACAUAUACACUUGAACUGGAGUGCUACUAGUACUACUAUGGAGGAGGCUGGUUGUAGUGGUAAUACUACACUUCGAUUUCUACUUGCUUUGGAUCGGCCUUGG